UUAAGCGACUAAGCGUACACGGUGGAUGCCCUGGCAGUCAGAGGCGAUGAAGGACGUGCUAAUCUGCGAAAAGCGUCGGUAAGGUGAUAUGAACCGUUAUAACCGGCGAUGUCCGAAUGGGGAAACCCAGUGCAAUUCGUUGCACUAUCGUUAACUGAAUACAUAGGUUAACGAGGCGAACCGGGGGAACUGAAACAUCUAAGUACCCCGAGGAAAAGAAAUCAACCGAGAUUCCCCAGUAGCGGCGAGCGAACGGGAGCAGCCCAGAGUCUGAAUCAGCUUGUGUGUUAGUGGAACGGUCUGGAAAGUCCGACGGUACAGGGUGAUAGUCCCGUACACCAAAAUGCACAGGUUGUGAACUCGAAGAGUAGGGCGGGACACGUGGUAUCCUGUCUGAAUAUGGGGGGGGACCAUCCUCCAAGGCUAAAUACUCCUGACUGACCGAUAGUGAACCAGUACCGUGAGGGAAAGGCGAAAAGAACCCCGGCGAGGGGAGUGAAAAAGAACCUGAAACCGUGUACGUACAAGCAGUGGGAGCACCUUCGGGUGUGACUGCGUACCUUUUGUAUAAUGGGUCAGCGACUUAUAUUCUGUAGCAAGGUUAACCGUAUAGGGGAGCCGCAGGGAAACCGAGUCUUAACUGGGCGUUAAGUUGCAGGGUAUAGACCCGAAACCCGGUGAUCUAGCCAUGGGCAGGUUGAAGGUUGGGUAACACUAACUGGAGGACCGAACCGACUAAUGUUGAAAAAUUAGCGGAUGACUUGUGGCUGGGGGUGAAAGGCCAAUCAAACCGGGAGAUAGCUGGUUCUCCCCGAAAGCUAUUUAGGUAGCGCCUCGUGAACUCAUCUUCGGGGGUAGAGCACUGUUUCGGCUAGGGGGGUCAUCCCGACUUACCAACCCGAUGCAAACUACGAAUACCGAAGAAUGUUAUCACGGGAGACACACGGCGGGUGCUAACGUCCGUCGUGAAGAGGGAAACAACCCAGACCGCCAGCUAAGGUCCCAAAGUCAUGGUUAAGUGGGAAACGAUGUGGGAAGGCACAGACAGCCAGGAUGUUGGCUUAGAAGCAGCCAUCAUUUAAAGAAAGCGUAAUAGCUCACUGGUCGAGUCGGCCUGCGCGGAAGAUGUAACGGGCUAAACCAUGCACCGAAGCUGCGGCAGCGACACUAUGUGUUGUUGGGUAGGGGAGCGUUCUGUAAGCCUGCGAAGGUGUGCUGUGAGGCAUGCUGGAGGUAUCAGAAGUGCGAAUGCUGACAUAAGUAACGAUAAAGCGGGUGAAAAGCCCGCUCGCCGGAAGACCAAGGGUUCCUGUCCAACGUUAAUCGGGGCAGGGUGAGUCGACCCCCUAAGGCGAGGCCGAAAGGCGUAGUCGAUGGGAAACAGGUUAAUAUUCCUGUACUUGGUGUUACUGCGAAGGGGGGACGGAGAAGGCUAUGUUAGCCGGGCGACGGUUGUCCCGGUUUAAGCAUGUAGGCUGGUUAUCCAGGCAAAUCCGGAUAAUCAAGGCUGAGGUGUGAUGACGAGGCACUACGGUGCUGAAGUAACAAAUGCCCUGCUUCCAGGAAAAGCCUCUAAGCAUCAGGUAACAUCAAAUCGUACCCCAAACCGACACAGGUGGUCAGGUAGAGAAUACCAAGGCGCUUGAGAGAACUCGGGUGAAGGAACUAGGCAAAAUGGUGCCGUAACUUCGGGAGAAGGCACGCUGGUGUGUAGGUGAAGUCCCUGCGGAUGGAGCUGAGACCAGUCGAAGAUACCAGCUGGCUGCAACUGUUUAUUAAAAACACAGCACUGUGCAAACACGAAAGUGGACGUAUACGGUGUGACGCCUGCCCGGUGCCGGAAGGUUAAUUGAUGGGGUUAUCCGUAAGGAGAAGCUCUUGAUCGAAGCCCCGGUAAACGGCGGCCGUAACUAUAACGGUCCUAAGGUAGCGAAAUUCCUUGUCGGGUAAGUUCCGACCUGCACGAAUGGCGUAAUGAUGGCCAGGCUGUCUCCACCCGAGACUCAGUGAAAUUGAACUCGCUGUGAAGAUGCAGUGUACCCGCGGCAAGACGGAAAGACCCCGUGAACCUUUACUAUAGCUUGACACUGAACAUUGAGCCUUGAUGUGUAGGAUAGGUGGGAGGCUUUGAAGCGUGGACGCCAGUCUGCGUGGAGCCAACCUUGAAAUACCACCCUUUAAUGUUUGAUGUUCUAACGUUGGCCCCUGACCGGGGUUGCGGACAGUGUCUGGUGGGUAGUUUGACUGGGGCGGUCUCCUCCCAAAGCGUAACGGAGGAGCACGAAGGUUAGCUAAUCCUGGUCGGACAUCAGGAGGUUAGUGCAAUGGCAUAAGCUAGCUUGACUGCGAGCGUGACGGCGCGAGCAGGUGCGAAAGCAGGUCAUAGUGAUCCGGUGGUUCUGAAUGGAAGGGCCAUCGCUCAACGGAUAAAAGGUACUCCGGGGAUAACAGGCUGAUACCGCCCAAGAGUUCAUAUCGACGGCGGUGUUUGGCACCUCGAUGUCGGCUCAUCACAUCCUGGGGCUGAAGUAGGUCCCAAGGGUAUGGCUGUUCGCCAUUUAAAGUGGUACGCGAGCUGGGUUUAGAACGUCGUGAGACAGUUCGGUCCCUAUCUGCCGUGGGCGCUGGAGAAUUGAGGGGCUGCUCCUACGAGAGGACCGGAGUGGACGCAUCACUGGUGUUCGGGUUGUCAUGCCAAUGGCACUGCCCGGUAGCUAAAUGCGGAAGAGAUAAGUGCUGAAAGCAUCUAAGCACGAAACUUGCCCCGAGAUGAGUUCUCCCUGAGACUAUAAGUCUCCUGAAGGAACGUUAAAGACGAUGACGUUGAUAGGCCGGGUGUGUAAGCGCAGCGAUGCGUUGAGCUAACCGGUACUAAUGAACCGUGAGGCUUAACCU
rnacentral:rRNA from 1 species